rnacentral:rRNA from 1 species
UACGUAGGGGGCAAGCGUUGUCCGGAAUCAUUGGGCGUAAAGAGCGUGUAGGCGGCUCGAUAAGUCUGCUGUGAAAGUCCGGGGCUCAACCCUGGAAGGCCGGUGGAAACUGUCGGGCUAGAGUCCGGAAGAGGCGAGUGGAAUUCCCGGUGUAGCGGUGAAAUGCGCAGAUAUCGGGAGGAACACCAAUGGCGAAGGCAGCUCGCUGGGACGGUACUGACGCUGAGACGCGAAAGCGUCGAGGAGCGAACAGG